rnacentral:lncRNA from 1 species
GUCAUGGCAAAUUUUAUAUUCAUCAUCAUAUCCUCAAAUGUAUGUUCAUGUGUACAAUUUGUCAUGUUUUAAUACAUGACGACUCCAUUAAUCUUUACACUUUUGAACAGCUGAAUCAUGAUUAAACAGUACAGAUCGUAUUAUUCUCAGUGCAGCACAGUCUCUGCCAAGGACAUACACUGACGUACACACUUAUCAAGACAGAUAAAGACUGGAGCCAAACCUUCUCAUAACAUCUUCAUCAUCCUCCAACAUUGCCACUAUGGGCAUCUGACUCCCUCCCUUUUGUCUCUCACUGUUGGGACCUUUUCUUAUCUGUAUAAAAAGCUUAAGCUUUGAAACUGUUGGGGCGGGGCGCGGCACUUCCUUUGGACGUCCGCCUGGACGGACGCUAAUUUUGUUUCACUUUGUUCCACUUUGUAUUCUUUUAUUUAGUUUAGAAUAAAAUCAUUUUUUAUUAAAUCAUCAAUGCUUCUCCUGGAUUCUAUCAUUCAACCAGAGCAAUGAAUCAUGUCUCAAAUGAGGUCAACCGUAAAUUCUGCCGUAACAAUUGGCGAUCACGAACAGGACCAUCUUCUGUCCACCCCUCGGACAGAGACUGGAGCACGAACCAUCGGUUGAACCUCAAACACCAAUUCGGACUAAGGUACCAGCUAAAGCCUACCAGGUACCAGGUACCAGCUAAAGCCUCAGUAGUGGGAUCGCGCAUGUGUUCAGGUACCAGCCAAUCCCAAGAGUUUUGUUUUGGUGUUUUUCCCCCUCUUCUGUUCAGGUACCUUCCGAUCCCAAGAGAGGUUGCCAGGUGUGUGGAGACUACCCUUCCUCAGACAACAACCAAUCAUCUACAACGCCAACCGGAACGACCCACACGGCAGUGAAGGUCGCGGAGCAGGCAACAUGGAUCCAAGAUGAUUGCCGACACCAGCUGAUGCUGAGACGGAGGCUGACCGAACAAUGAAGGGGGAACCGACAAGGCCACUGAGACACACACACAAGAAAACUCUCUAGAACAAGGGCCUAGCUUUGUUUAUAAGCCACACCAAAUGCUCAUAGCUAGGUUGAGGGAGGACAAGCUCAAACCUAGCUGCAGGAAUACAGUCAUAAACCCUUCUGCUACGAUUGAGGAAAAUACUCAAGGUUCUUCACUCAUGAUGCUAUUGGUUACCCCAGUUACCACUGAAC